rnacentral:rRNA from 1 species
CACGGAGUUAGCCGAUCCUUAUUCUUACGGUACCGUCAAUCUGCCUCACGAGGCAGGGUUUCUUCCCGUACAAAAGCAGUUUACACACCAUAGAUGCGUCGUCCUGCACGCGGCAUGGCUGGUUCAGGCUUGCGCCCAUUGACCAAUAUUCCUCACUGCUGCCUCCCGUAGGAGUCUGGUCCGUGUCUCAGUACCAGUGUGGGGGAUCUCCCUCUCAGGACCCCUACCCAUCAUUGCCUUGGUGUGCCGUUACCACACCAACCAGCUAAUGGGACGCAUGCUCAUCUUACACCGUUGAUACUUUAAUAUGUCGGGGAUGUCCCCAUCAUAUACUAUAAGGUAUUAAUCCAAAUUUCUCUGGGCUAUCCCUUAGUGUAAGGCAGAUUGCAUACGCGUUACGCACCCGUGCGCCGGUCUCAGGAACCGAAGUCCCCUACCCCUCGACUUGCAUGUGUUAGGCCUGCCGCUAGCGUUCAUCCUGAGCCAGGAUCAAA